AACUGCGAGGUAAAUUAGGUGAAAAUGCCAAUUCGUGUCCAACGGUUCUAGUGCCACAUGUCAAAGAACCUGCUGUAGCCGGUCGUCUGGACCAUACUACUGGCGUUCAGGGGUUGGUAUCCCGUUAUACAUGCCAAAGCAAUUCGAUUUUGAGUGUUAUUUUUAAAACUAGUUGGCGAGCUGGUCUUUUGUUUUUCAUUAUGCUACGGAAGGCUUCUGCGGAUAAAUUUGGCGCUGAAAUAGAUUUGUCUUCCUUAAAAGACCUCCAAACUUGACUCACAAUGCCCAAGUUGAAAGACAAAAGAAAACCAACAGUUGAGUCACUUGCAAUGGAUUUGAGGAGCACCUAAUUAGUGCUGAGAAAUUGGCAUCAUCUUGAUUUGUCCUGAUCUAGAUUAGUGUUGCAAUUGGUUUGAUCAAUGACAGUGAUGGUGAUAUUAGUGAAUCUGACAUACAAGAAUAUGAAGAGAAAUCAUAUGAAGAUCUAAUGAAGGGAAAUCAUAUUGUAGAGAACAUGUAGGAGAAUUUGAGAUGCCUGUUCUGUAGAGGGAAGAAAAAAGGAUUACAGAUACACAGAUGUACUUCAACAUGCAAGUGGAGUGCAGGAAACGGGUAGCAAAAACUACGGGGUGCAUAGGGAACUUGAGAAAUUUCUGAAAACUCAGCUUGCAGCUUCUGCUGAGCCACAAAAACUAAGGACAGUACAUUUGGAGUAGGAAGCUCCACAGACCAAAUGAACAACUCCAUGUUUGGCUCUGGAUGGGAAUUAUUGUGGAUAUCCACAGGAUUUCAAUGAGGGAAAGUACAUUGCCUUGGUAACAGUGAGCUGAAAGAGACUUGCAGAAUUCUAUCUGGUGCAGUUUUGCACAAUGUGGAAUUACAGAGGUCAGCAGGGCAAGGCUGUUGUUGAAUUUAAUAAAGAUUGACAAAGGUACAACAAUCCUUCAUAAAAAUAAUUGAAGCCUAAAGGAAUAUGAUGAGCUGAGUACUAUGAUACUGGAGGUCCUGCUGGCAAACAUCUUCCCUCAAAAGGGGAUCAUAAGACCCUGUCACAGAUCAAUCAGAGAAUUGCAAAUAUACAAGAAAAGAAUAAGUACCUAAUGACAUAAAGAAGUAAGGCUUUCACAAAUGAAAUAUCUCCUUGCAAUGAUAGAAUCUGCACAUUAGAAGGCAGAAGAUGAGAAACAGAAACGUGAGGAAUUUCAUAGAGAAGAUUGGGUAUUAUCAUAUUUUAACACAGUGAGCAUCAGAUUUCAAUGGACCAUAUCUGUAAAGAAAGGCAGAGCAAGAAGUACAAACUCUACUUGAUAGUUGCAUUGAGGAACCCCUGAAACUUAGCAAGGACUUGGAGCGUCAAAUGAAUGCAAUGGAGGAGAGUUGCAAAGAAUUAAAACAGUGAGAAGCUCAGAGUGACUUGGAGAAUGAAAAACUAGAGGAUCAAAAAAGGUUUACAGCCUGAAAGAGAAUUUGAGAAGGGCCAAAGAAAUUACACUAUCAUGCUUGCUUUAUUUAUGUCUGAAAAUUUGCAGAGGGCGAAUGAAAUUCAGAGGGCACAAUAGGAAAACAUAAUAAAAUGAGAAACAAAAAAGGGACUUACAUAUCCAACUCCAUCAACAAACAAAAAAGUCAGCAUAUAGAGAGAGAACAGAAUUGGAGAUCAAAUUUCUAUCAAGCAAGUAAAAGAUUUGAGCGAUUCAGAUUAUUUUAAGAAGAUUGAAAGAAUGGUCUAAAGGACAAAAUUAAUGAAAUGGAAAGUUCUCAAGGUGAAUCAACAGCCGUUGAACAAACAAUGCCAAGCAAAUGAACUGCAAGAUUCUAGAAAAUCGGUUAUUCAGACAACUUACGAGGAGGCACAAGUCAAUUUGGUAUAGAGAGGUAAGACAAGUGAGCAUCGUCAUGGGGCAGAGUGAUCGUGCCAUUGUGGAGAUUUGGACUAUCCUCUUGGAUAUAGAUUUGGGCAUAAAUCUGGUAGAAAAAUAUUGUCCUAUUGAUAGACUAUACCAUAGAUGAUGGCAAAGUUGAGGGGAUUCCAUACCAGGAGUGCUUUAGCUACUCGAUCUUAGUCCUAUUGA